rnacentral:rRNA from 1 species
UACGUAGGGGGCAAGCGUUGUCCGGAUUCAUUGGGCGUAAAGAGCGUGUAGGCGGCCAGGUAGGUCGGAUGUGAAAACUGGAGGCUCAACCUUGAGAGGUCGACCGAAACCAUCUGGCUAGAGUCCGGGAGAGGAGAGUGGAAUUCCUGGUGUAGCGGUGAAAUGCGCAGAUAUCAGGAAGAACACCCGUGGCGAAAGCGGCUCUCUGGAACGGUACUGACGCUGAGACGCGAAAGCGUGGGGAGCGAACAGG